CCUCUNGCNGGCGCUCGCGAGCCCUUUUCGGGGGCCNGCGCCAGNGGGUGAGCCCCGNGGCCCGCCAAAGCAACAGUGGAAAANACACAAAGGGUGGAAAGGUGCNGGGGCGAACCCCNNGGGCGCGAGGCCCCCCUCUCAAUAAUGAUCCUUCCGUAGGUGAACCUGCGGAAGGAUCAUUA
rnacentral:rRNA from 1 species